AGGACGAACGCUGGCGGCGCGCCUUACGCAUGCAAGUCGCACGGACCUUCGGGUUAGUGGCGGACGGCUGAGUAACGCGUAGGUAACCUAUCCAGUGGUGGGGGACAACCCUUCGAAAGAAGGGCUAAUACCGCAUGUGAUCCCGGUGUGAGAUUCAACGGGAUGAAAGCCGCAAGGCGCCACUUGAGGGGCCUGCGUCCUAUCAGGUAGUUGGUGGGGUAACGGCCUACCAAGCCUGUGACGGGUAGCUGGUCUGAGAGGACGACCAGCCAGAAGGGGACUGAGACACGGCCCCUACUCCUACGGGAGGCAGCAGCGAGGAAUCUUGGGCAAUGGGCGAAAGCCUGACCCAGCGACGCCGCGUGAGGGAUGAAGGCCUUCGGGUCGUAAACCUCUUUUGUGAGGGAAGAAGUUCUGACGGUACCUCACGAAUAAGCCACGGCUAACUACGUGCCAGCAGCCGC
rnacentral:rRNA from 1 species